AGUAGUCACGUAGUUUGAUCCUGGCUCAGAACGAACGCUGGCGGCAUGCCUAACACAUGCAAGUCGAACGAGACCUUCGGGUCUAGUGGCGCACGGGUGCGUAACGCGUGGGAAUUUGCCUCGGGGUAUGGAAUAACUCAGGGAAACUUGAGCUAAUACCAUAUAAUGUCUUCGGACCAAAGAUUUAUCGCCCUGAGAUAAGCCCGCGUAGGAUUAGCUAGUUGGUGAGGUAAAGGCUCACCAAGGCGACGAUCCUUAGCUGGUCUGAGAGGAUGAUCAGCCACACUGGGACUGAGACACGGCCCAGACUCCUACGGGAGGCAGCAGUGGGGGAAUAUUGGACAAUGGGCGAAAGCCUGAUCCAGCAAUGCCGCGUGAGUGAUGAAGGCCUUCGGGUUGUAAAGCUCUUUUACUCGGGACGAUAAUGACGGUACCGAGAGAAUAAGCCCCGGCUAACUCCGUG
rnacentral:rRNA from 1 species